UACGGAGGGAGCUAGCGUUAUUCGGAAUUACUGGGCGUAAAGCGCACGUAGGCGGCUUUGUAAGUUAGAGGUGAAAGCCCAGAGCUCAACUCUGGAAUUGCCUUUGAUACUGCAUCGCUUGAAUCCAGGAGAGGUGAGUGGAAUUCCGAGUGUAGAGGUGAAAUUCGUAGAUAUUCGGAAGAACACCAGUGGCGAAGGCGGCUCACUGGUCCGGUACUGACGCUGAGGUGCGAAAGCGUGGGGAGCAAACAGG
rnacentral:rRNA from 1 species